ensembl:lncRNA
CAGAAACAGUCAGCGCGGAGAGGACUGUGCAGCAGCUUCCAGGAACUGCCUCACUCAUGCUUUGAUAUUCAUCCUCUGCAGAAAUCUGCUCAUCUCUGCAGCUUCAAAGCAGCACGCAGGAAUCAGAGAUGCUUACAUCAGCAGGAGACCUGGGAGAUGUUCUAUGGCAUCUCUGCCAUCGUACAGACUUCUCCAUCAAGGGCUUGAGCUGCAAAUAUGAAUAAAAAAAGUUCCCUGCUGUCAAGGUGAUCCUGGAUCAUCACAAGAGAGACAGCUGAUCUAAGCGAAGAGAGAAUGUAGCUCUGAUGGAGACAUAAGAUGUUGGGUUGAUACACAGUGAUGCCUUAUGGAACCCAAGGGCUGUCAAGCUUCGGGAGAUUCAGGAGCGCCGCGGGUCAUCCGAGGCCUAGGGCCAGCUUCACCUGGGAAGGAAUUCACGCAGCACACUCUCCCCUCCAGGGAGGGAAGGUGAAGCAAUGUAUUUUGAAAGCUGACUCCUCCCUGCUCUGGCAGAAAGUGGGUCAAAGGAGAAGCACAGUUUCUUCGCUGUUGCUCAGGCUCUCUCGUUUUAAAGGGUCGUGGAGGUUUCUCCUGUUGGGCUAUUAAAGGCAAUUUUGAGGAGAAUAAAGAAAAUAAGGAAAGAAAAAAUAGAAAAACUAAGAGGUUUUGGGGGAAAGGCUGGGGAUUCUAAGGAGAAAAGUUGGAGGUAGUGGCAAGAGGGGCUGUGGCCAAGAGACGCCAGGGGAGGGCCCCCAGGGGAGGGCCGUCUGGAGGCUGUUCUUGAGUUACAGUCCCACCAGCCUUCCCGUGUAGCUUGUGCAGUUUUCACUCCACAUUCUGGCUUUAUUUUCUAUAACAACUGAAUUCCAAGUGCCUAAUCCACUGGGGCUCCACACUCGAUACCCUGCCUCUUCUCCUGGCUCCCACCAUGGACUUGAGUUUAAAUCUGCAUCUGCAGGGCUUGUGAACACCAAGGUGUGGUGAUGGGGGCAGCGAAUGCCCAUUUGAUCCUCAAGUCAUCUCUCCAUGUAGGUGUCAGCCAAGACUGUCCCUUCCACAUACCAAAUCAUGCAGGUUGUGCCUCGAUGCCCCUCGUUCCUGUCUCUUGGUUCCUUCAAGUCCCAGGGCCCUUUCCAUUGCUAUUCCAUGCUCGGUCUCGAGGGCAUAGGAAUCCCUCUGAGGCAGGUUCUCCCUCUCUACAGCACUCAGGGCACAAAACCCGAUCUCUGGGCCUCAGUGACAUCUGUCCUUUUCCCUGUCCUUUCUUUCACCUGGCGUGAAGCAACUUUUUUCUGGUGUGGAGAAAGUCCCCUUUCCUCCAAUCUCCCUUUCAAACGUUUGGCUCUCUCCAACUCCUCUCAGUCCCACCAUGGGCUUUAGGCUUUUGGAAGCCACAGUUGGGAAGAAGUCUGUCUGUCCGUCCAUCUGUCUGUCCUCUCUCUAGCUUUCCAUCCUCAUAUCCCUUCCAAAUCGCAAUGGGCAUGAAAUAGACCACAUGCUUGGAAAUGGGCAAAAGAGAAAAAUACGUGGGAGAAAAUAGUUAAGCCUUCAAAAUAUUAUUCUGCACACACACACAGGUGGGAACCUCGUGUCAUCUGCCCAGAACUAAAGCAGAUGAACAUCUGGAAUCAGAAUCACCCGUGUGUGAGCUAAAAAUAUUGACUUCUGUGCCCCCCCCAAAGUCUGCUGAAUCAGAAUCUCUCCAGGUAAUUCUUUUUUUUUUUUUUUGAGGAAGAUUGGCCCUGAGCUAACAUCUGUUGCCAAUCUUCCUCUUUUUUUCCCCUUUUUUCUCCCCAAAGCCCCAGUGCAUAGUUGUAUAUCCUAGUUGUAGGUCAUUCUAGUUCUUCUAUGUGGGAUGCUGCCACAGCACGGCUUGACAAGCAGUGUGUAGGUCCAUGCCCAAGAUCCAAACGGGGGAACCCUGGGCCACUGAGCCAGAGCGUGUGAACUCAACCACUCAGCCAUGGGGUUGGCCCCUCCAGGUAAUUCUUAUGUGCACUAAACCUUGAGAAUUUCCUAGUCUUAGUCUCUGCUGAAUCAUCUACCCAGUUUUCAUAUUGAGUUGUGCUUGUUCCCAAGCUGGUUCUGAGUACUUUAAUGUGUGUACAAAUCACAUGGGGGGGUCUUGUUAAGUUGGGUGGGGGACCUGAGACUCUGCAUUUCUAACAAAUGUUCAGAUGCUGCUGCGGCUGCUGCUGGCUGGAGGACCACAUUUUGAGUGGCGAAGUGCUGGAGACUCUAUGUUGAUGUCCUGUGAGGCCUGUGAGGCCAUCUCGAGAUUUCUCAAGUCCUCGCUGCUGGCAGUUUGCUUGCACCGAGUUGGAGAUUGCUACACCCUCAUGGAGACUGUGCUUUGUUGACUGGGCUCUACCUAGGGCUCAUCCGGACUCGCUCCGCCUCCCUGCUUGUCCUGCCCUCCUGUCUCUGACCUGCUACUCCCACUCUGCCUCAAGGGCAACUCCACUGCCAUGCCCUGGUCUCCCUCACCCCAUGGGCCUCCUCUGACUGUAGAUAAAGAACCCAACAUCUCUAGAGAAUCUUUAAGUUUGCUAAUAUGGUAAAGUCCUUCUUCUUCCUGGGAGAAAAGGGGAAGUGAAACUUGAAGAAGCAGAUAAAGGUGAGUCAGGAAUUCACUUUUCUCUUUAGGUCCACCAUCUGUGGGGAAAGAUGUUCCAACUUCCUACACUAGCCUUGACUUUGAAAGAAGAACUGAGCCUGUGGGAACUCCUGCCCCUUUCUGAUAGGUGGAUGGAGAAGGGGAACCCCAUACUUGCUUGCUCGGUCUGUGUUUAUCCCUCAAGUCCUUGGGGAGUUGUAGAAUUUAAAAAGUGGUGAGAUUCUUCUCUGCAGCCAUGGAGAACUUCUGAUGUUCAAGCUAGCGUGGUUUCAAUCUCUGUUGGUUAAUAAUAAGACGGCAGGUCUAAAGCAGAGGUGCAGGGGAGGGCUGCCCGGUGAUGCUCUCCAGAUGUGGAGAAUCAUGUCACACUGAAAGCUCUAAUGCCUGAGUGAAGCCAGCAGUGGUCAGUGGACUGUAAUGCCAGUCAAUCCAGAAAGAGGCCCCUGACCAUGUGGCUGCUGACCUGUGGCUCUGGCCCAGAGUGAGACACCCUAGGCCUGGGAGGCUGACUGUGGAAGUCACUGGCCCUGUGGCCAGACAAACAAAGACAGCACUUUUCAGAGCAGUGGAACCCAAACUAGGGUCUACAGAAAGCCCCGUCACCUGGAGAAAUUUAAUAACAAAGAUUCCAAUGCUCACCCUAGACAGGCUGAUUCAGCAGGGCCCAGUGGGCUAUAUUUCAAAAACUACUCUUUGGGAAAUUUUUGACAUACAGGUUUGGGAACCAAUGCCUUAGCACGUGAUUUGCUAAGUUUUUAGCAGAAAAAUUAAUCCACUAGAUAAAUACUUAUUGAACAACUGCUAUAUGCCAUGAAUUGUUCUAAGCUCUGGGCAAGCAGUGGUGAAUCAGACUGACAAGGUCUUGUUAGAGCUCCAAAACAGGAAACAGAUAAAAAGGAGGAGUGGAUUUUUUAGGAAUUUUAAAUAUUCCUUGUUUGGCAGAAAAUGCUGUUUUUUGCUAAACCCCUAAAGCACCGUCACAUUCUGUGGCACACAGUUCAAGAACCACUGCCUUGGAGGCCUGGGAAGCAAUUUAGAGUAAUAAAACCAGCACAGGCUUUCAGUUUCCGGUGGAUUAGCUGGGGACACCUUACGGUCUUCUUGUGAGUAACAAAAGAACCAAACACAUAAAGCAUAGAGGACAGUGCUCGGCCCGCCGCUGGCCCUUGCUGCAUUUUCAUUCUCUUUCUUCUGCAGCGGGUUACCUAGGCGAGAGGGCAAGUUGGGAGCAGAAACAAGAACACACCUGUAAGUGUGUUGCAAUAGGGACCUGAGGAUCAGGUGGGAUAAUCAGGAGCACAAAAUGCAGAGGCCAAGAAAAGGCUCUUCCACCACCACGGUGAGGAGCGACCACAGGUGAAAAAUGGGGCAGCUGCCGCGGGAACCAGUCUAGGAGUUCCUCAGAAAAGGUAAACAUAGCGUCAGCAUAGGACCCUUCCAGUCCACUCUUAGGUAUAUACCCAAGAGAAAGGAAGACACAUGUCUACACCAAAACCUGUACACAAUUCACAACAGCACUAGUCAUAAUAGCCAAAAAGUAGAAACAACCCAAAGGUCCAUCAAGUGAUGAAUGGACAAACAAAAUAUGAUAUAUUUGUACAGUGGAAUAUUAUUCAGCCACAAAAAGGAGAGAAAUAUUGAUACAUGCAACAUCACGGAUGAAUCUCGAAAACAUUAUGGAAGUGAAAGAAGCCAGUCACAGAAGAC